rnacentral:rRNA from 1 species
CCUACGGGAUGCAGCAGUGAGGAAUAUUGGUCAAUGGACGAGAGUCUGAACCAGCCAAGUAGCGUGAAGGAUGACUGCCCUAUGGGUUGUAAACUUCUUUUAUAAAGGAAUAAAACGAGGCACGUGUGCCUUUUUGCAUGUACUUUAUGAAUAAGGAUCGGCUAACUCCGUGCCAGCAGCCGCGGUAAUACGGAGGAUCCGAGCGUUAUCCGGAUUUAUUGGGUUUAAAGGGAGCGUAGAUGGGUUGUUAAGUCAGUUGUGAAAGUUUGCGGCUCAACCGUAAAAUUGCAAUUGAUACUGGCAGUCGUGAGUACAGUUGAGGUAAGCGGAAUUCGUGGUGUAGCGGUGAAAUGCUUAGAUAUCACGAAGAACCCCGAUUGCGAAGGCAGCUUACUAAACUGUGACUGACAUUGAUGCUCGAAAGUGUGGGUAUCAAACAGGAUUAGAUACCCGAGUAGUC